UACGUAGGGUGCAAGCGUUGUCCGGAAUUAUUGGGCGUAAAGAGCUCGUAGGCGGUUUGUCACGUCGGAUGUGAAAACCCGAGGCUUAACCUCGGGCCUGCAUUCGAUACGGGCUGACUAGAGUUCGGUAGGGGAGACUGGAAUUCCUGGUGUAGCGGUGAAAUGCGCAGAUAUCAGGAGGAACACCAGUGGCGAAGGCGCCGCUCUGGGCCGAGACUGACGCUGAGGAGCGAAAGCGUGGGUAGCAAACAGG
rnacentral:rRNA from 1 species